CACAACACAACACAUUACAAAAACGCGCUGCAAAUAGACCACAACACAACAGAAGUGUUUCCAGAGGACACUUACAAGUGAUGCACACUUCCGGAUAUGCUUGUUGACGCGGGUUUUGAAUCGGAGUGCUAGUUCUCUUACCGUCAGUGGUGUUGGAAGUGAGAUAAAAUAAGUAAUGUAUUGUCCAUAUUGUGGAAUCGAGCUGGCUGGACAUAUUGGAUGUUUUUGUGGCUCCUGUGGCAGCAACAUUCAGUUUUUGGCACCUUUUCAAGAAGAUGGACUCAGUUCUGGAUUGAUGUCUUCAGUGACCUGAGAGAGGGGCACCUUUUCAACGGCACUCGUGAGCACAAGUGCUUACUGCGGUAUGUUUUCCUGGACAUCUUGCAGAAAGAGCUUGAUGAGUACAAACAACUUUGGAACAACCACACUAUCCGACCUGUUCGUCAAUCUCGUUGUCCAUCUGGCAAACCAGAAGCCAUGUACCACCUCGCUCACAGGUUUGGUGGAAGGGAGUGUGGAUUCCCAGUGCCCCAGGAAGCCCUUCACCAGUUUGAUGGCAUUCUGCCAGCUCAACAUAGUCUAUGUGGUGAUGACAAUCUCCAGAUUCACUUUGCAGACUUGGAGAGACAGAGUGCGCUGGUUCCACCAGUCAACUGGACAACUGCUGUUCAAAAUUAUAUAUCACUUAAAAACAUGUCCUUACUUUAGAAAUAUCCAUUCCUGCAUGGUCCUGCGGCAUACUUGCCUUUGUUACCUCUGCCACUGGGUAGCUUGAGCUGCCAUGUGCAGGGAAUAUUCAUGCUGUAAGAACUGUAUCAAGCAUUUUUUUUGUUUUGCACUUUGCAAUUAUCUGCAAUAAAUAUUGUUAUGGGAAAGCUGAUUAUGUUGUUGUUGGGCAAGGGGAACACAGACCUAAGAACACAUUUAUAUAUGACCUUUGAGGAAAAAUAGGCACUUUUUUAGGCUCUGCAAUAAACUCAGUACCAUUUUUGCUGGCAUAGGAUUUUUUUGUAUUAUAUUUUGUUAUUAUUUCAUGUGGACAGGUGCAAUGCAUGUGUAAGCACUUACAUGUACAAAUCAGAGCAACGAGAAUUGCAAGCACGUACGUGUGCGGACAUAUAAUAAUGGCAAGGGGAUAGAAUUGAGAAUACCCUUUAUUAACCUUGUUUUCAGGGAGAUUUAACAAAGAAACUGGUCACGUCAAUGUACAGCUCAAAUUACCAAAUUAAUGGUCAAGGAGGGCACACUGAGGUUCAACAUGUAGAGGUAGAGUUUUCCCUCGUAUGGGCUUAAAGCCAUGCUUGGUCUUGCCCAUCAUCCCAACAGAAAUCUAGAUGAGAAAUCAGAGGCAGAAGAUAAGACUAUUGUGUCAGACAAUGCAACUUAACAGUAUCAAACAUCAAUAUUAACUUACCUUGACUGUUUUCAUUGAUUUCUUUUUGGCUUUUGAAAAUGUCUUCCUCUCAAUUUCUUUUAGUUCUCUGUAUCUCAUGAACUGAUGCACAGCUGACUUCGCUGGGAUGGAACAUUCACUGGUCCCUAAGAGAGAGAGACUUAUUAAAAGUAGCUCCGAGAUAAAAAC